rnacentral:rRNA from 1 species
AACGAACGCUGGCGGCAGGCUUAACACAUGCAAGUCGAACGCACCGCAAGGUGAGUGGCAGACGGGUGAGUAACACGUGGGAACGUACCCUUUGGUUCGGGAUAACCCAGGGAAACUUGGGCUAAUACCGGAUACGUCCGUGAGGAGAAAGGUUCACUGCCGAAGGAUCGGCCCGCGUCUGAUUAGCUAGUUGGUGAGGUAACGGCUCACCAAGGCGACGAUCAGUAGCUGGUCUGAGAGGAUGAUCAGCCACAUUGGGACUGAGACACGGCCCAAACUCCUACGGGAGGCAGCAGUGGGGAAUAUUGGACAAUGGGCGCAAGCCUGAUCCAGCCAUGCCGCGUGAGUGAUGACGGCCUUAGGGUUGUAAAGCUCUUUUACCUGGGAAGAUAAUGACGGUACCAGGAGAAUAAGCCCCGGCUAACUUCGUGCCAGCAGCCGCCGUAAUAC